rnacentral:rRNA from 1 species
CCUACGGGUGACAGCAGUGGGGGAUAUUGCACAAUGGGGGGAACCCUGAUGCAGCGACGCCGCGUGGGUGAAGGAGUGCUUCGGCAUGUAAAGCUCUAUCGACAGGGAAGAGGCAAGACGGUACCUGACUAAGAAGCCCCCGCGAACUACGUGCCCGCCGCCGCGGGAAUACGUAGGGGGCGAGCGUUAUCCGGAUUCACUGGGUGUAAAGGGAGCGUAGACGGCAAUGCAAGCCAGGGGUGAAAGCCCGGGGCCCAACCCCGGGACCGCCCUUGGAACCGCUUGGCUGGAGUGCGGGAGGGGCAAGCGGAAUUCCUGGUGUAGCGGUGAAAUGCGUAGAUAUCAGGAGGAACACCAGCGGCGAAGGCGGACUGCUGGACGGCGACUGACGUUGAGGCUCGAAAGCGUGGGGAGCGAACAGGAUUAGAUACCCCUGUAGUC